CCCAGACUCCUACGGGAGGCAGCAGUGGGGGAUAUUGCACAAUGGGGGAACCCUGAUGCAGCGACGCCGCGUGGGUGAAGGAGUAUUUCGGUAUGUAAAGCCCUAUCGGCAGGGAAGAAGCAAGACGGUACCUGACUAAGAAGCCCCGGCUAACUACGUGCCAGCAGCCGCGGUAAUACGUAGGGGGCGAGCGUUAUCCGGAUUCACUGGGUGUAAAGGGAGCGUAGACGGCCAAGCAAGCCAGGGGUGAAAGCCCGGGGCCCAACCCCGGGACUGCCCUUGGAACUGCUUGGCUGGAGUGCGGGAGGGGCAGGCGGAAUUCCUGGUGUAGCGGUGAAAUGCGUAGAUAUCAGGAGGAACACCGGCGGCGAAGGCGGCCUGCUGGACCGCUACUGACGUUGAGGCCCGAAAGCGUGGGGAGCAAACAGGAUUAGAUACCCCGGUA
rnacentral:rRNA from 1 species